GACGAACGCUGGCGGCGUGCCUAAUACAUGCAAGUCGAGCGGAAUGAUGAAGAAGCUUGCUUCUUCUGAUUUUAGCGGCGGACGGGUGAGUAACACGUGGGCAACCUACCUUGUAGAUUGGGAUAACUCCGGGAAACCGGGGCUAAUACCGAAUAAUCCAUUUCGCUUCAUGGCGAGAUGUUGAAAGACGGUUUCGGCUGUCACUACAAGAUGGGCCCGCGGCGCAUUAGCUAGUUGGUAAGGUAAUGGCUUACCAAGGCGACGAUGCGUAGCCGACCUGAGAGGGUGAUCGGCCACACUGGGACUGAGACACGGCCCAGACUCCUACGGGAGGCAGCAGUAGGGAAUCUUCCACAAUGGACGAAAGUCUGAUGGAGCAACGCCGCGUGAGUGAAGAAGGUUUUCGGAUCGUAAAACUCUGUUGUAAGGGAAGAACACGUACGAGAGUAACUGCUCGUACCUUGACGGUACCUUAUUAGAAAGCCACGGCUAACUACGUG
rnacentral:rRNA from 1 species